rnacentral:tRNA from 1 species
GCCUUCGUAGUGUAGUGGUCAGUUCGCUCGACGCGUAACCGAGAGGUCCGUGGUUCGAUUCCUGGCGAAGGCG